UAAAUUCCAUAACGCUUUUAUCAGAGCCAGUUGUGUCACAAAUCCUAUACAACCUUGUGCCCCACCGCUGCACACCGCAAGAGUUCUCAUUGAGUUUCACGUAUCAUGUCAUGCUGACAAUUUCUUUCGGACAGAUCGACCAUCAGGAGAGCCAAGGGCCAAGCCUGGACUGGAGCCUCCAAGAAAGAACUAGCAUUCUCCCUGAUCAACUAGCAAGGUGCAGAUUCAGAUUGCAUUACAAGCCUCCGAUGAAAUGAAUGGGAGAUGUUCGAUGGACAAAGACAAUACCCCCCAAAGUUGUUACGCCCUUUGCCUUUUGUGAUGCAACAGCACAUCUGCCUACCAUGUGGUAGCAACAAUAGCGCUCUCAACAGGUGAUGGCAGCAUAUCAUGCUUAGAGAUUAAGGAUGUGCCACUGCUGCUACAAAAACGAAGGUGAGCACAUACAUAUGGUAUAAGCUGGUGAUUGACCACUUCAAUCUCUUGUAGUCUGCAAAAAGGCUUUUUAUUUUAAAAAUAUGAUAUGAUGAAUCCCUGGAUGAUUAGAAACUUUUUUUUAGGAUAGAUUAGAAACUAGUAUUGUGUGCUCAGGUUUGUACGCUUCGUUUGUGACGCCCGAGAAAGAAAAGCUUUGCCUUUUCUUCUUUUCCUUUUCUAACUCUUGCCCACAGGUCACUGCUUGUCUGCUUGCCAGCUUCUUUGGAGGCAGACAAGAAAACAAGCUUAAAACAAAAAGGUACC
rnacentral:lncRNA from 1 species